rnacentral:rRNA from 1 species
UAAGGAAUAUUGGUCAAUGGGCGAAAGCCUGAACCAGCCAUCCAGCGUGCAGGAAGAAGGCCCUAUGGGUUGUAAACUGCUUUUGUCAGGGAAUAAACCCUUGGAUUCACUCCGAGGCUGAAGGUACCUGAAGAAUAAGCACCGGCUAACUCCGUGCCAGCAGCCGCGGUAAUACGGAGGGUGCGAGCGUUAUCCGGAAUUACUGGGUUUAAAGGGUGCGUAGGCGGCUUGGUAAGUCAGAAGUGAAAGUUUGCGGCUCAACCGUAAAAUUGCUUUUGAUACUGCCGGGCUGGAAUCAGGAUGAGGUCAGCGGAUGUGGCAUGUAGCGGUGAAAUGCAUAGAUAUGCCAUAGAACACCAAUUGCGAAGGCAGCUGGCUAGACCUGUAUUGACGCUGAGGCACGAAAGCGUGGGGAGCGAACAGGAUUAGAUACCCUGGUAGUCCACGCCCUAAACGAUGCUUACUCGACGUAUGAUG